rnacentral:lncRNA from 1 species
CCGGCAUCGCGCGUCAGUGAAGGAUAGUGUCGCUGGUGGCCGGGCUGGGGCGAGGGGCGUCCGAUGCCUUCACCUUUUCUGGUUUCCGGUUUGACGCCGUGGCGUAGGUGCUGCGGGCUUGCAACCUAGUGUGGACUGGUGGGGCUCAGGAGAUUUCUGAGCUUCUCGAACUCCGUAUUGCUUGGCGUCCUACGGGAGUUGGACGAGAGGCUGGGACCAGUGUAGAUUCCACUGGGCAGGGGAGCAAAAGCUCUGCACUGCCUUGAAUGAGUAUGGAAGGGUCGGUCUAACUGCUUAAUAAGUCGGGGUGGAUCCAGG